CCUACGGGUGGCAGCAGUGGGGGAUAUUGCACAAUGGGGGGAACCCUGAUGCAGCGACGCCGCGUGGGUGAAGGAGUAUUUCGGUAUGUAAAGCCCUAUCGGCAGGGAAGAAAUUGGACGGUACCUGACUAAGAAGCCCCGGCUAACUACGUGCCAGCAGCCGCGGUAAUACGUAGGGGGCAAGCGUUAUCCGGUUUCACUGGGUGUAAAGGGAGCGUAGACGGCCAUGCAAGCCAGGGGUGAAAGCCCGGGGCCCAACCCCGGGACUGCCCUUGGAAAUGCAUGGCUGGAGUGCGGGAGGGGCAGGCGGAAGUCCUGGUGUAGCGGUGAAAUGCGUAGAUAUCAGGAGGAACACCGGCGGCGAAGGCGGCCUGCUGGACCGCGACUGACGUUGAGGCUCGAAAGCGUGGGGAGCGAACAGGAUUAGAUACCCCAGUAGUC
rnacentral:rRNA from 1 species